AGAGUUUGAUCCUGGCUCAGAUUGAACGCUGGCGGUAUGCUUUACACAUGCAAGUCGAACGGGCUUGGGGGCUUGCUCCCGGGUUAGUGGCGAACGGGUGAGUAAUAUAUCGGAACAUAUCCGGAAGUGGGGGAUAACGUAGCGAAAGUUACGCUAAUACCGCAUAUGCCCUGAGGGGGAAAGGGGGGGAUCGCAAGACCUCUCGCUUUCGGAGUGGCCGAUACCGGAUUAGCUAGAUGGUGAGGUAAAGGCUCCCCAUGGCGACGAUCCGUAGCGGGUCUGAGAGGACGACCCGCCACACUGAACUGAGACACGUC
rnacentral:rRNA from 1 species